rnacentral:rRNA from 1 species
AUGGCCUCGCUCACCAUGCUAGUCACCUGGACCAUUUGGAACGAGAGGAAUGCGCGAGUGUUCCGUCAGAAGAGUGCUCCGGCGACGGUUCUACUCGUCAACAUUAAGAAGGAGGCCAUGCUUUGGGUAUUAGCGGGGGCAAGAAAGUUGGGAUACUUGAUGACGCGAGAGUAG